GACGAACGCUGGCGGCGUGCUUAACACAUGCAAGUCGAACGGAAAGGCCCUGCUUUUGUGGGGUGCUCGAGUGGCGAACGGGUGAGUAACACGUGAGUAACCUGCCCUUGACUUUGGGAUAACUUCAGGAAACUGGGGCUAAUACCGGAUAGGAGCUCCUGCUGCAUGGUGGGGGUUGGAAAGUUUCGGCGGUUGGGGAUGGACUCGCGGCUUAUCAGCUUGUUGGUGGGGUAGUGGCUUACCAAGGCUUUGGCGGGUAGCCGGCCUGAGAGGGUGACCGGCCACAUUGGGACUGAGAUACGGCCCAGACUCCUACGGGAGGCAGCAGUGGGGAAUAUUGCACAAUGGGCGGAAGCCUGAUGCAGCAACGCCGCGUGCGGGAUGACGGCCUUCGGGUUGUAAACCGCUUUCGACUGUGACGAAGCGUGAGUGACGGUAAUGGGUAAAGAAGCACCGGCUAACUACGUG
rnacentral:rRNA from 1 species